rnacentral:rRNA from 1 species
UAGGGAAUAUUGCUUAAUGGGCGAAAGCCUGAAGCAGCAACGCCGCGUGAACGAAGAAGGCCUUCGGGUCGUAAAGUUCUUUUACGUGGGAUGAGGAAGGACAGUACCACGAGAAUAAGUCUCGGCUAACUACGUGCCAGCAGCCGCGGUAAAACGUAGGAGACGAGCGUUAUCCGGAUUUACUGGGCGUAAAGCGCGUGUAGGAGGCGCUACAAGUUGGAUGUGAAAGCUCCCGGCUUAACUGGGAGAGGUCGUUCAAGACUGUAG